rnacentral:rRNA from 1 species
GUGUCAGCCGCCGCGGUAAUACGAAGGGUGCGAGCGUUAUUCGGAAUAAUUGGGCGUAAAGGGUGCGUAGGCGGCAUGUUAAGUCAACUGUUAAAGACCUCAGCCUAACUGGGGAUCGGCGGUAGAUACUGGCGUGCUAGAGGAUGGAAGAGAGAAGUGGAAUUCUUGGAGUAGCGGUAAAAUGCGUAGAUCUCAAGAGGAACACCGAUGGCGAAGGCAGCUUCUUGGUCCAUAUCUGACGCUGAGGCACGAAAGCAUGGGGAGCAAACAGGAUUAGAAACCCUGGUAGUCC